rnacentral:rRNA from 1 species
AGGUAUCAAAUCCUGAAUUCAUAGGGGUUUGAAGCGAACCCGGGGAACUGAAACAUCUCAGUACCCGGAGGAAAAGACAUCAACCGAGAUUCCGUCAGUAGUGGCGAGCGAACGCGGAUCAGGCCAGUGCUUGUGUUGAGAUUACCGGAACGGUCUGGAAAGGCCGGCAGGAUGGGUGACAGCCCCGUACGGGACGGUCGAUACACAAGACUCGAGUAGGGCGGGACACGUGAAAUCCUGUCUGAACAUGGGGGGACCACCCUCCAAGCCUAAAUACUCCUCGAUGACCGAUAGUGAACCAGUACCGUGAGGGAAAGGCGAAAAGAACCCCUGUGAGGGGAGUGAAAUAGAUCCUGAAACCGCAUGCAUACAAGCAGUGGGAGCCGACUUGUUCGGUGACUGCGUACCUUUUGUAUAAUGGGUCAGCGACUUACAUUCAGUAGCGAGGUUAACCGCAUAGGGGAGCCGUAGAGAAAUCGAGUCUUAAUAGGGCGUUUAGUUGCUGGGUGUAGACCCGAAACCGGG